UUGUUCUUGACAGGCAGAACUUUCCCUCUUUUUCUUCUUUCUCUCUCUUUGGUCUCUCUCUCGGCUCCGGUUCUCUCUCUUUGAAAUUUUUUUUGGUUACAUUCAUCACACAAAUUCUAUGAUCCACCAAAAUCUAUUAGGUUUUAGACCCAUGUUCUUGAGACCAAAGUGAAAAGCUUGGUGAGAGUAACGUUUUGACUUGUGGAGAUCAAAAUCCGACAAAGUCGAAAAUUGGAGUUUUUACUUGUUUCCUCUUCUAGCUUUUGAGGUGAUUAUAGUGUGCCUUCGCCAAAGUGAAGGCGUGGAGGAUCUUGUGGAGAACAAGGCUCAAUUAUUUAUUUGUUUUGUUUUCUCUGCAAGCCAAGGGCUAUCUAUGUAUGGGUUUGAAAACCACUUUGUUGUAACCGGGCAAAGCCUUGGAACUUGUAGCCGUUAAGGCAUUAAUUGAUAUUUUGUUGCUUUAACUUGUUAUUAUCACAUGCUAUAAAAUUUCAUAUCUUAAGGAU